rnacentral:rRNA from 1 species
AACGAACGCUGGCGGCAUGCCUAACACAUGCAAGUCGAACGAGACCUUCGGGUCUAGUGGCGCACGGGUGCGUAACGCGUGGGAACCUGCCUUUAGGUUCGGAAUACCUCAGUGACAUUUGAGCUAAUACCGGAUGAUGUCUUCGGACCAAGGAUUUAUCGCCCUUAGAUGGGCCCGCGUUGGAUUAGCUAGGUGGUGGGGUAAAGGCCUACCAAGGCGACGAUCGAUAGCUGGUCUGAGAGGAUGAUCAGCCACACUGGGACUGAGACACGGCGCAGACUCCUACGGGAGGCAGCAGUGGGGAAUAUUGGACAAUGGGCGAAAGCCUGAUCCAGCAAUGCCGCGUGAGUGAUGAAGGCCUUAGGGUUGUAAAGCUCUUUUACCCGAGAUGAUAAUGACGGUAGCGGGAGAAUAAGCUCCGGCUAACUCCGUG